AUUUUGUUUACUAUGUUAUGAGAUAAAAAAGGUUUGAUUUUGGUCUUUAAAAUUUAUUUUUGAUAAAUUUAACAUGUGAAAUUUUUUGUGAUUUUUUAUUUUCUAAAAGAAAAUUUACGAUCCUAAUCGCAGUUUUUAAUUUUAUUUUUUAAUGGGAAUUAGAAUUAGUUUUAUUUAAUAAUUUUGUCAAAUUUUGUGCCAGCAGUUGCGGUUAAACAAUUGAGGUAAAUAAAUUUUAUUGGUUUAUAUUUAGGAGUUUUUAUUUAAUUAAUAAUUUGUCAAUUUUAGGUGAAAUUUUAUUAUUUGUGUUUAAUUAAUUUUUCUGAUAUAUGAAAUUCAGGAUUUAAACUAGGAUUAGAUACCCUAUUAUUUUGAAUGUAAAUUUUAACCAUAAUAUUAAUAGUUUAAGGUCUUUAAACUAAAAGGAUUUGGCGGUAAUUUAAUCUUUCUAGAGGAACCUGUCCUGUAAUUGAUAGUCCACGUUUAAUUCUACUUUAUUUUAGCUUGUAUAUCUCUGUCAUUGAGUGUUUUAUAAGAAUAUUCUCUAUAAAUUUUAUUAGUAAAAUGACAAGUCAAGGUGCAGCAAUAAUAAAGAAGAGAUGGGUUACAUUAAAGUUAUUUUUGGAGGAUAAUAUGGAAAUUUAUCUUAAAUUGGAUUUAGAAGUAAUUUUUUUUAUUUAAAAAAUAUGAAUUUAGUUCUAAAUUAUGUACAUAUCGCCCGUCAUUCCUAUUUUUUAAAUAGGACAAGUCGUAACAAAGUAAAGUUAUCGGAAGAUGUCUUUAGAGG
rnacentral:ncRNA from 1 species